rnacentral:lncRNA from 1 species
AGGGAUUUUUUAAUUUUAAGCUAUUUGUCUGUUAAGUAUAUAAUACCAAAACGCAGGUUGUUUAAAUUAGGAUUUCCAAGUAAUUUAUGUCGUCUUCAAAAUUCCUGGGGUCUAUCAAUCAGAAACGCCAGAAAGUUUGUGUACUAGUUUCACAUUGUUAAGGGAGUAUCUAUAAUAAAAUUCAAAUGCGUUAUUUUAAAAUAAGUAAAGGACUUAAACAUGAUUUUAGCUAACUAGUUAUUUCUAGUAUACAUGAGUUCAUAGUUCUGGCAAACAAAUACUUAUUUUUGAAAUUUUAGUAUCUGAACUUAGUUACUUCAACUAAACUAAAACUGAAUGAGGUCCCUGCCACCCCUCAACCCCCGUCCCCUGCAGCCGCCCCACAGGAUCCCUAUUUAAAGAACUGUGGUGCUGCAGGAAAGCUAGAACAAAGUAUCAGGUUACAGACAGUACAUACUCAUGUUCCUUACAAGACUUAACUGCAACUGCAUCAAUGUAAAAUUUGGAUAUGCCACUUAAGGGGCAGUAAUAUGAGAAAUAUUUUUUCUUUCAAAAACACAUUUCCCUAAUUAUAAAUAUAUAUUCAUUGUUGGAGAUUUUGGAAAACGCAGAAAAAAGUUUUUAAAAAUCUCCCUAUAAUAUCAUUUUAGGUAAUCCCUGUUAAAUAUUACUGUAUUUACUUCUAAUUCUGUUUUCUAUAAAUCUUCAUGGUUAUUUGCUGUAGUUUUAUAAUUUUUUGUUAACAAAGUUAGAUCAUAGCAUUUAUAUACCCUUUUGAUGCCUGCUUUUGAAAGUAUAACAUAUUUCAGGUAUUUAUGAGACAUUUUCUAUGUAUAUAACUCAUCUUUUAUCUCCUGUAUGGUUUUCUCAUCUUUUCAAAAAUGUUCCCAUUUCUAUUAGAGAGAUAAAUAAGAAAAGUCAGAAGAAUUGCACACAGUCCAAAUAAAAUGUUAGAAAACCUUUAUGAGGAAAAGAAAAUGUACAUAUAUGUUUAGAAUAUAAUAAAGGGUAAUAAUCAUGUGUUAACCUUUAAAGAAAUGAGAACGCCUACUCUAUAUGCCAAGCAAUGAUGAUUCAGCAAUUCUUUCUGAAUGUUCAUCUUUGUGCAUUUUGACAGCUACGAUUUUCUACUCUUCAAAAUUCUCUACUUUAACAACACCAUGACAUUAGAAAUGUAUAACAUUGAUCUAGCCUACCUGUAGGUUACAGAGGUUUGUCAGCUAUUUAUCAAUUUUUUUAGCCUCACCAAGAAAUAAUAUCAAAAGGUACUUUCAAAUCCAAAAAACUUAGUGAAAAAUGCUAAUAUCCAGUCACCUUAAGACUCCCAGUUUUAAAAAGCAUAUUGCCAAACUGAAAUCCAGUGCAAGGAUCAGUAUCACAUAGAGUAAAAACAGAAUAAAAAUCACCUAUUACAAAAUUCAUUUCCAAGGGAGUUCCUUUAAAUAUUCCUUACCAAAGGAACGGUGACUUUACUAUUUAACAACCGGAAAUUGUUCUGGCGGGUAGUGUUUGCAGAAAAAAAAAAUAGACACUUAUUUGAUUCAAUCAUUUUCAGAGAGCUAGGAAUAUUAUCAAAACUUGACACAGUAAAUUAUUUUAGAGAACCUGAAGACCGGGUCUUUCAUAUUUGUGAGAAAUUGUAUUAUAUAUUAACAGACGGAAAGAAAUCUGGCUCCCUAGACACUGAAAAGGGUGAAAAGGGAUUUUCACAUUUCUUUAAAUAUCACACACACAUAAGAAUCGUAAUUGUAAAGUUGAAAAGCAAGAAUUCACCUCAACUUUGACAUUUCAAGUUAAUAAGAAAGCAAAUAUAAUCGUGAUUUACGCGAUUGUUGUAUUACGUGAUUGUUGUAUUAAUACAACAAUCUGGCUAGCUUUUGGUAAAAUGAACAGAUACUUGCACACUUAUAGCUUUGUAAAGCUUUGUAAAUAAUUCAAACAUUUGGCAAUAGUAAAAGCCACUAAAUAUUAUUUUAAUAGCUCUAUAAAUACCACACCUGGAAUUUAUCCUUAGAAAAUAAUUUAAAGACAAUAAUUAUAUGUACAAAUAUACCCAUUGCAAAUAGAUGAAAUAGGGUAAAGCAUCAAGAUGAUCAUCUUUAAAAGUACAUAGCAUUUUGGAGAUAUUUUACCCUUACAUUCACCUUUUCAGACUGAGAUGUCUUCUCUACUACCUAGGAGUUGAAAAUCCAUUAUACAAUACGAUCACUUUACAUUAAAUCUUGGUCAUCCAAGUUUGUAUGAUAUGAAUGCGGCAAUUUGGGGGAGGGGUUGGGAUUGUCAUUCCUGCAAAUAAUUAUGACAAAAACAGGAAGAGUAUGUAAAAGGGAGAGUAGUGGUAGCCUGUAGGGGAAAUGGAACAGAGAAGAGCUGAGAUCAAAGCUUAUUUAAUAAAAGUAAAAUAAAUAAAAGCUUUUUUAAAGGUUAAAAUAAAACCAAAAAAAUACAUAGAAAUAGUCUAUAUGGAAUAUUUAGAUAUCACAUAAAUGCUGCUUAUAUGAUGUUAUAGCUUACAUGUAUGUGUGACGGAAAGUUUGAAGAGAACAAAAACUAGCUUGAGUUAGUAACUGACAUACAUUUUUUCCCUUAAAACUAAAGAAUGCUGCAUUUUUAACAAAGAUAUAAAAAUUAGCACUUGCAUUUUUAAAUUUUUACUUUGCUACUCAAACAUUGGUAAGAUUAUUCCAUGAAAACACAAUUAUCUUCCCUUUAUUAUAAGAAAAGUACAGUCAGGUGAGGUGGCUCAUGCCUGUAAUCCCAGCACUUUGGGAGGCCAAGGCAGUAGGAUCACUUGAGCUCAGGAGUUCAAGACCAGCCUGGGCAACAUAAUGAGACCUUAUCUCUACUAAAAACUAAUUUUUUUAAAAAAUGGAAAUUAAGAUAGCAUUUUAACCACAAAAAACUAAAAGUAUAAUUUGUUAUUCAGUUGAUGUCAUCUUCAUCUUCUACUUUGACUUUAUUCAUAUAUAAUAAAAAACAAGUUUUCUUUUUCCAACUCACAAAUCAUUUCUCAGUUUAUAAUAAAAUAGUACAGAAGAAGAUAAAAUGCCAUGAGUCUCAGAAGAAAUUACAUCAAAAUUCAGAUCAUCACUUAAAUGCUGGAGGACAAAUGACUUCUCAUAUUUUACCAUCGCACCUGUGAAUAACUUUUCCUGGCAAUAUUUAAUUCUUAAAUGGGUCAUAUUUAGUCCUAAAUUUUUUUUUUUUUUCUUUUUUGAGAUGGGGCUUGCUCUGUCACCCAGGCUGCAGUGAAGUGGCACAAUCAUAGCUCACUGCACCCUUGAACUCCUAGGCUCAAGUGAUCCUGCUGCCUCAGCCUCUCGAGUAGCUGGGACUACAGGCCAAUGCAACAUCUGGCUUAUUUUAAUUUCUUAUAGAGACCAGGUCUCACUAUGUUGCCCAGGCUAGUCUCCAACUCCUGAGCUCAAACAAUCCUCCUUCCUUGACCUCCCAAGAUCCUGGGAUUACAGGCAUAAACCAGGGUGCUUGGUACUUGAAAUUUCGAUCCUGGAAUUACAGGCAUAAACCAGGGUGCUUGGACCCUGAAAUUUCUUUUUUUUUUGAGACAGGGUCUCGCUCUGUCGCCCAGGCUGGUCCAGAAUAGAGUGCAGUGGCACAAUCUCGGCUCACUGCAACCUCCGCCUCCCGGGUUUUAAGAAAUCUCUGCUUCAGCCUCCCGAAUAGCUGGGAUUACAGGUGCGUGCCACCACGCCCAGCUAAUUUUUUUGUAUUUUUAGUAGAGACGAGGUUUUGCCACCUUGGCCAGGCUGGUCUUGAACUCUUGACCUCGUGAUUCACCCGCCUUGGCCUCCCAAAGUGCUGGAUUACAGGCAUGAGCCACCACGCCUGGCCAUGAAAUUUCUUAGUCAUUCAUAUUAGAAAAUUAUGACCUCCAUUCCCCAAUAAUUCCUGUCCAAGAAUAAGCAAAUAAACUGAGGCUCUUUUAAACUCUGUUAACAGUGCUUUAGAUAUUUGAAUAUAUAACCUCAGAGUAUGUAAAAGUGAUUAUAUUUGCCGAGGUGACACCCAGGGAAUAUUCAUAAUAUAGUGGUUAAAAGCAUAGAUUUUGGAGCUGGAGUGCCUGGGUUAGAAUCCUGGUAAUACUACUUACAGCUGUAAGACCUUGGACUUAAAUCUCUCUGACCUCAGCUUCCUCAUCUGUCAAACAGAGUUAACUCUGUUAACUGUUAAGCUGGUAACAUUAAUACCAAUUUAGGAUUGUUGUGAGGAUUAAAUGCAAUCAAUGUGUGAUACUUAAAUGUGAUUGGCACGUAGUGAGGAAUACCAAAGUGCUGGCUACUCUUAUCAUGAUGAUGAUCUCAUAUGAACUUGAAAAUUUUUUUUCCAGGAAAAUUACUAUACCAUAUGCAUAACAAAAUGUUCUUAUUUAUAAGCAUACAUGCACACACACUCACACAUACACACACAGCUGUCCAAUUGGUAUUUCUAAAUAUUCCAGUUAAUAUUUGCUACUCAUUCAUGUUGAUUUUGUUAAAAUUUAAAAUCAUUAAAACUUCCCAUAGGUAGCAUUCAUUGUAUUUCAGUUCCAAUAUUUAUAUUCUUAAAGUAUAUAUAUUUGAUUUUGGAAUCAGAAGAUCUGUCCAGCCUUAAUAUCUGUUGAUGCCUCACAUAUCUCAGUCGUACCAAAUUACUUGAAAAUUAUCUAGGGGAAACCAUUAUUUAUCAAUUCCUCUUAGAGGGCUAGUACAAAAGAAUAAAGACUUAAAAAUCUGAAUACUUGGUUUCUAAUCUCAGUUCUCCCACUUAACAGGUGAGUAACUUAGAUGAAUCAUUUAAAUUAUCUGAAUACCUAACUCACAAAGAUUAUUGUGAGAGUCAGAUGAGAUAGUACAUGUGUCAGCACUACAAUUUAUAUGACAUCUACAUAUACAUUAUUUUCAGUAUUUUAAGCUAUAUAAACUAUUUUGCUACCACUUGGAUGUUUAUUGACAAAUAGUCUCCUUUGACUCAGGAAGUUUUACUUGGCAUAAAGCAUUAAAGUAACUACCAGAUUCACCCCCAAAGGAGUCUGGCAUCCCCCAAGAUCUUGCCUCUUGCCAAGUUCCCUUUUCAGACCUUUAUCUCUGAAUUUUACUAUCUUCUCAGUGUUAAAAAAAAAAAAAACCUGUUCUAUGCCUUCCCCAUAAUAACAUUUAUAUAAUACUUUACAGUUUAUAAAAUACUUCCAUAUGCUUUCUCACAUACAUCUGAUACUCAAGUGAUAAGAUUUCAAAGAGCUUUUCUAUAGCUACAGUCUAAUAAUGAGCUAAGAUAUUCUUGACAAUUCUUAAACAUACACUGUUCCAAUAUUUACAUAAAACUAGAGGGUACUAGGCUGUGUCUAUCCUAAUGUUUCACCUGUUUUUAAGAUAAUAUCUAAAUAGUUAUAUAAAAUCAAAUUAUUGGCCAUUUAAUAACGGACUAUAUCUUACCUCUACAUACUAUAAUUUCCUAAAAAACCAGUAAGCACUAAGAGGUAUCAUUACCAUAGAUUGCUAUAGAGCAAAUGCUUGAUGUAAGUUUGCAACUCAGACCCUCAAUUCUCAUUCCUGUGAAAAGGUUCCAGAGCAUAAUACUUACAGUACCUUUUAAUUUUGUGAUGGCUACAAAUGCAACUUUGUCUUUAGGGGAAAAAUAGGGAAAUUUUUAUUUAUUGUGUAUGUGUUGCCAAGAUACAGACCCAUAAAAUCUAUUUAUUUAUUUAUUUAUUUAGAGACAGGAUCUCACUCUGUUGCCCAGGCUGAUUGUGUUCCUGAUCUCACAAUCUCAGCUCACUGCAGCCUCGACCUCCUGAGCUCAAGCCAUUUUCCCACCUCAGCCCCCAGAGUAGCUAGGACCACAGGCAUGCCACCAUGCCUGGCUAAUUUUUCUAUUUUUAGUACAGAUGAGGUUUCGCCAUGUUGCCCAGGCUGGUCUAGAACUCCUGGGCUUAAGCGAUCCACCCAUUUUGGUCUCCCAAAGUGCUGAGAUUACAGGUCUGAGCCACCGCACUCAGCUGAGAAAUUUUAAAGAGAUUCACUUCUUACCUUAUCUACGUUACAAGCUGAAAUACAUAAACUUAAGGCAAGUGUCUUUAAGACAUUAAGCCCUAUCCAUUUAAGCUUAAAUUGUUUUAGAAAUCCUACUCUCCCACGCCCCUUACCUGUAAAUGUCCUUUUUUAGGCAAUGACAGUAGUUUGGAUUCAUUAUAUUUGGAAUUUGUCAACAGUAUCUGACUGUCCAUUUUAUAGUAUUUGAUGGGUACACAAACUGUUUAAAAAGGUGGUUAUCAUAGUGCACAUUUUCCACAAAUAAAGUAUUUCAAUCACUCAGCAAAUAUUUAUGGAGUGUUUAUUUUGUGUCACACACUAUUUUAGGUGCUGUUAACUAGAUAGACAUUAUCCUUGCUCUCAUUCAACUCAUUCUAGAGGGGGAAGACAAACAAUAAAAAGUUAAUAACGAAAUGAGAUCGUUUUAAGAGCUUUAAAGAUAGUCAAACAGAGGCCGGUGCGGUGGCUCACGCCUGUAAUCCCAGCACUUUGGGAAGCUAAGGACUGCAGAUCACUUGAGGCCAGGAGUUCAAGACCAGCCAACACGGUAAAACCCCGUGAAAAUACAAAAUUAGCUGGGCAUGGUGGCGUGCACCUGUGGUCUCAGCUACUCAGGAGGCUGAGGUGAAAGGAUCAUUUGGGCCUGGGAGGUGGAGGUUGCAGUGGGCCAAGAUCAUGCCACUAUACUCCAAACUGGGUGACAGAGGGAGACUGUCUCAAAAAGAAAAGAAGAAAAAAAAAGUUAAUUAUUAUCCUCAACUUGGGCUGGAGUGGUGGGGAUAGGAAAGACUUCAGAACAGAAAAUUGUGAGCAAAGUCAUGAAAGACUGAUAGAUUUUGACAGAGAAAGGGAGAAUUUGCAAUUUGGAUCAGGAACACUAAGUCAAGAAGCAAAAGAGCAUAAAAUGUAUUUGAUACAGCAAAAAUACUGGUGAGAUUAAUGCAUGCAAAUUAGGAAGGCUUGCCCUGGGAAGCUGGCAGAAAAUAAGUUACGGUCAGAUUGUUCGAAGUUUUUUUUAUGGAGACAGGGUUUUACUGUCACCGAGGCUGGAGUGCAGUGGCAUUGUCACAGAUCGCUGCAGCCAUGAUCUCUCCUGGGCUCAGCCUCCCAAGUAACUGGUAUUACAGGCUCACACCACCACCACAUCUUGCUAAUAUAUAUAUAGAUAUAUAGAUAUAGAUAUAGAUAUAGAUUUUUUUUUUUUUUUUUUUGUAGAGACAGGUUCUCACUAUGUCUCCCAGGCUGGUCUCAAACUCCUGGGCUCAAGCAAUCCUCCCGUCUCAACCUCCCAGUGUUGGGAUUACAGGCAUGUGCAACUGCACCCAGCUGAAAGUUUUUAAUGUCACACUUGAUGACUGCUCUUUUAUGCUCUUCAAAAAGCACUAAUUCAAUAGUUUGGUCUUUGAAAAAAAAUUACUUGAAGAGGUUGCUUCAUUUCUUAAGUGUCCAUUUAUUCCCAAACCAGUGAAAUUACUUUUCUGGUUGUCAGUAAGGUAAAGGGUUCUUAACAAAGUUUCAUUAAUAAUCUGUAAGCUUCCUGGCCAGGCGCUGUGGCUCACGCCUGUGGUUCUGGCUACUCUAGAGGAUCACUUGAGACCAGGAGCUCAAGGUUGCAGUGAGCCGUGAUCGCAGUCCACCCGGGUGACAGAGGGAGAUCCUGUCUCAAAUAAUAAUAAUUUGUAAGCCUCCAAGAGCACCAACAUAAGAUGGCAAACUAACUUAAAAUGGUUGGUAGGAAGAAUAAUUUUAGUCAUAAUUCUCUGUGGACUAUUGUCUGUAUCAUCAAAAUUUCCAUUUUAUCGCUACAGUAAUAUUAGUAAUUCCCCAAGUUUUCAAAUGUUGAUACUGUGUCAUGGCUUGGUUUUAUAAUACUUUCCCCGAAGCACUAUAAUAUAUACAUUUAAUUUUUUUGUCUAGUGGUCUUUAAAACAAGAUUUUAAAUUGUUUAAAAAAUUAAAAAGUACCUACCUUUCAAAAAACAAGAAAAUAAAAUUGCUUUAAAUGUAUAGAAAUUACUAGAUUUGGAGACACCCAGGGGAUCAGACAUAUUUUAUACUUAAAAAAAUAAAUCAGCCAGGUGCAGUAGCUUACACCUGUAAUCCCAGCACUUUAGAAGCACGAGGUGAGAGGAUCACUUGAGCCCAGGAGUUUGAGACUAGCCUGGGUAACAAAGUGAGAAUUCCAUCCCUACAAAAAAUUUACAAAUCAGCCAGGCAUGGUGGCAUGUGCCUGUAGUCCCAGCUACUCAGGAGGCUCAGGCAGGGGGAUGGCUUGGGUCCAGGAGGUCAAGGCUGCAGGUGAGCCGUGAUCAUGCCACUGUAUUCAAACCUGAGUGACACAAUAAGACCCUGUAUCCAAAAAAUAUAUAUAUCAUUUCCUUUUUUGGGGAGUAUAGAACUAACUUAUUCUAACUGGGAUGAAUAAAAUAUUCAAGCAACAACUAGCCCUUCUUUGUUACCCUCUUUUACAAUAAGUCCUUGAAAGCUUGCUAAUGACUAGUGAAUGUAUGGCGAGCUAAUAUACUUUUCUGGCAUUUUGAAAUAAUUUAAAGAGUUCUUUUUUUGUUUUGUUUUGUUUUUUGAGACAGAAUCUCACUCUGUUGCCCAGGCUGGAGUGCAAUGGCACAGUCUGGGCUCACUGUAACCUCCGCCUCCCGGGUUCAAGUGAUUCUCCUAUUUCAGCCUCCCAAGUAGCUGGGACUACAGGCAUGUGCCACCACACCCAGCUAAUUUAAAAUAAAGUGUUCUUUACACUGAUUUUAAACACUGAGUUAGGCCCAGGGUGAUAGCUCACACUUGUAAUCCCAGUACUUUAGGAAGCCAAGGCAAAAGGAUCACUUGAGUCUAGGAGUUCAAGACCAGCUGAGCAACAUAGUGAGACCUCGUAUCUACAAAAAAUAAAACAGAUUAGCCAGAUGUAGUGGCAUGCACCUGUAGUCCUAGCUACUUGGGAGGCUGAGGCAGGAGGAUCACUUGAGCCCAGGGAGAUGAGGCUGCAAUAAGCCAUGAUCACGACACCACUGCACUUCAAGCCUGGGCAACAGAGCAAGACUGUCUCAAAACCAAAAACACUGUAUUAGCCAAAAAAUUUUAAAAAGAGCUAGAGUUUCUACAUCAUUUUAAAUGGGUCUUGAUAAACUAAUAUUUCAUUAUAACAUUUUGCCUGUGUUGAAAGAUCACACUAUUUAGACCAGUGCUGUCCAACAGAAAUAUAAAGCAAGCUACAAAUGCAAGCCACAUUUCCAGAAACCAUAUUUUUUUAAAGUAAAAACAAACGUGAAAUUAAUUUUAAUAAUGUAUUUUAUUUAACCUAGUAAAUCCAAAAUAUUAUCAUUGCAGCAUAUAAUCAAAAUACAAAUUAUCAAUGAAAUACUUUACAUUCUUUAUUUUUUGUACUAAAUAUUUGAAAUACAGCAUGUAUUUUACACUUUGACCUCAAUUCAGAUAGGUACAUUUCAGUAGCUUAAGAGUCUCAUGUGGCUAGUGGCUACUGUGUUGGACAGUGCAGAUCUAGUGGUUCCUUCUAGUCGGCAGUACUAUAAUCCAAUUUUUCAGAAAUCUCAGCCUGUGAAUCUCAGCCCAAGUAUACCACACAUACAUACCUCUCACAUGCACAUUUAGGGUAAAUAAAGUCUUAACAGGUGAACUCUAUUUUACUUAUAAAAUAGUACUACAUUGUUCAUCCAUAUAAACAAUAUGAUAAUUUUUUUCAAAAUAAUACUUUACACUUAAGGUAGUAGGAAUGUAUUUACACAUGCUCAGUUGACAUACACUUUCACAAUGUUUAAUUGUAAAAGCAACACUUGGAAAUGAGGAAUCUACGUGAUUUUCACUUUUAUCUUUUCUAAAAUGUCUCUUCUCAUACUCUUUUCUUAUAUGUGGCCUGAGAUGUCAUCUUAAUUGGCUCAUUAGAAAAAUGAGAGUAGUUAAAAAAAAAAAAAAAGAGAGAGAGUAGUUUAAGGAGUACACAGAAAAAAAAUGUCUGUAGCCCAAGAGGAGGAGAGGAUAUGCAGCUGUUUCAUUGAAUUAUUAGGCUCUUAGCCAAGACUGCAACAAACUGAUUAUUUAGCAAGUUUGUUUAGCUAAUUGUUUACAAUUCUCAAAUAAUUUUUUUCUUUUUUUUUUUUUUUUGAGACAGUCUUGCUCUGUCACCCAGGCUAGAGUGCAGUGGUUUCAUUAUGGCUCACUGCAGUCUCAGCCUCCGGGGCUCAAGUAGUCCUCCCAACUCAGCCUCCCAAAUAGCUGGGACUACAGGCAUGUGCCACCAUGUCUAGCUAUUUUUUCUUUUGUAGAGAUAGGGUCUCCCUAUUUUGCUUAGGCUAGUCUUGAACUCCUGGGCUCAAGCUAUCUUCCCACCUCCGCCUCCCAAAGUGCUAGGAUUACAGGUGUGAGCCAUUGUGCCUGGCCUCUCAAAUGAUUUAAUUUAAAUCAGUACCAAACUUUAACUAUGAAUUAACUUUAUCGUAUACUGCAUCCAUUAAAACAUAAUCACGAAACCACUGCUACCAUGGAGACUUAACUAUGAUUCGAAGACUUUAAUAAUGGCUACCAAAUAUAAGUAUUAGAACAUUUAUAUAAAUAAGCCCGUAUGUCCUAUAGUAUUUACCAACUACUAUAAAAUUCAGCCAUUGACUACCUAAUUCCAAAUGCAUAAGCUUGAACUAUUAUAAUUGUCUAAAGAAGGAUAUUUAGAGAAAAAUAUAUCUCUAAAAUAAAUUAACUGUAAAUGGAUGGGUUUUAAUGUUCAAGUUAUUAAUAUUUCAAAAAUAUAAACUUUUUGUUAUCUAGGUCAAAUCAGCAUAUCAAGCCAACCAUUACUGAGACCCCACUGUGCUAUACUGUUACAUGUAACAUGAAGGAUAAAACAGUAUAAUACAUAGUCCCUACCCUUAAGGAGUUUAUACUAUAAAUAAGUCAGGCACGGUGGCUCAUGCCUAUAUCCCAGCACCUUAGAAGGCCAAGGAGGGCGGAUCAAUUGAGGUCAGGAGUUCGAGACCAGCCUGGCCAACGUGGUGAAACCCUAUCUCUACUAAAAAUACAAAAAAAUUAGCCAGAUGUGGUGGCACACACUUGUAGUCCCAGCUACUUGGGAGGCUGAGGCAGGAGAAUUGUUUAAACCCGGGAGGUGGAGGUUCAGUGAGCCAAGAUUGUUCCACUGCACUCCAGCCUGGGUGACAGAGCGAGACUCGAUCUCAAAAAAGAAAAAAAAUAAAAGAAAAAGGAGUUUAUACUAUAACUAUAUAAAGUAAUACCUAAUGUCUAUUGUUGCUUUUGCCAGACAGCGGUAGAGUUGAGUAGCUGCAGCAGAGACUGUAUGGCCCACAAGGCCUAAAAUAGUUACCGUCUGGCCCUUACCAGGAAAUGUUUGCCAACUUCUGCUUUAUACAAAUUAUUCUUCGCUGGAGGGAGAGCAAAGUCUAAAUAAAGCACUAAACAUGAUAAAAUUUUAUUGCAUCUGGCAAACUUUAAAAACUAUAGUUUUUACAAUAAACACUCAGAAAUAGGCCGGGCUCUGGUCACAUUUUCAUCAACUGGUCAAUACAUAACCUCUUCUAUGUGUAUUUCUGUUAAAGAUACCUUAAUAAUAUAUAUUGUUGAUUCACUGACAUUGAACUCAUAGCCAACAGAACUAUGACUCAUGCCUGAAUGAAGCUUACCUAACACCUGAAUUUUCUCUGUAAGGCACAUCACAGCCUUCUUGUGCUUAGCAACACUAGACAGCACUUUAGCACUAUGCUUAGAGGCCAUUUUAAAUAGUAAAGUCACCAAUAAAAAAAAAGCACAAAAAUACAAAAAUGUGGCACUAAAUGGACCAUGAAAAGGAGACUUGUUUAAAAGUAUGAGAGCUGAAACAUGAGGGCAGACCACUGACUUGUUCAACCUCAGCUAGUUCAUUUUUUGUGUGUGUAGAGAUGGUGGGAGGGGUUGCACUAUGUUGCCCAGGCUGGUCUUGAACUCCUGGCCUCAAGCAAUCCUUCUGCCUCAGCCUCCCAAGGUGGUGGGAUUACAGAUGUGAGCCUCUGUGCAAAGCUCAGCUAGUUCUUAAAUAUUUUGCCACUCUGAACAUGCGUAUGUCUAAAAAUGACCUUGAAAGCAUUUCAAGUAUUGCUUUUGGGGUUACAAAUACAUUUCGGUGAGUAGGCAAAUUCAUAAAUACAGAACUGACAAAUAAUGAGAAUCAACUGUAUAAUAAUAUCAUUACUGAGAAUCUUCUGCAUUAACCAUAAUCAGUUAAAAAAUUGUUUUUGAACAACGGUAACAUUAAUGAGUACACAGGCACCAAAGUUAAUACCUUUGAAGGGAUAUUUGUUAUAUAUAAAGCAAAUAGGGCAUGUGUGUAGGUGUAUUUCCCUCUUCCCUACUCCAGGAGCCCUUCACCUAGCUUACUUCUGCUUUGAGACUCACCCUGUAGAUGGGCUUCUGUGAAGCCCAAACUUGGGUUAGAUUCCCCGGACCUUGAGCUCCUACACUUCCCCCCAUAUCUCCACUGUAUUACACAUCACCUUACAUAACCAUCUGUGUGUUUAUGCCUCAUCCACUGGAUUGUAACCAGCGGGGUCCUGUUUUAUUUCUAGAACAAGGCGUUUACAAUAUAUUGCUGUUCAAUAAACUUUUACUGAAUGAAUGAAUCACAAAGAGAUGAGAAAUAACAAGAACCUAAAGUAGGAUGACUAUGAUAUAACCAGACCAACAGGUAGGAUUAAGUAGUAAGAAAUAGCAUCUGUAUAAUUUGCCCAUCAGCUGGAUGUAGAGAAGAGGAAGGAUUUCAGACUGCCCAUUUCUGGAUUGACAAAGGUGUGCACAGUUGUGCUACUAAUGAAAGUAUAGAAUAUAAGAAGAGUACUUUUUAAGUGUAAAGACAAGUUCUACUGUGAACAUUCCUGUAACCUUAUUAAUAACCCCUUCAUCUAUGCUACUUCAAUAGUUGGUAAGUUUUGCUGCAUAAGACUGCAUUCCUAGUUAUCUAUUUCUCUGGCUAACUACCUCAUUAAAAUGUAAGAUAAUAUAAGGUAAAUUUUAUUUAAUUUUUGACUCACCAAAAACCAACACAACAAUAUUCAUUUGAAUUGAACGUGGAUGAAGACAUCCAGGAGAUAUUCUGAACUGGAGCUUAGAAAUAUUAGUUGGAGACAAAUAUUUAGAAAGGAUCCUAAUGCAAGUGAUAUUUUAUAGUGUGAAGGAGGAACAAUUUUUGGAAAGAAUCAAAGACAGAACUUUGGGAUGACCAGCAUUUAAGGGGCACAUCAAUCAACAGGAGACAAUAAAAAAGACAGAAGGAACCAUCAGAGAUCAACCAGGUGAGAAUGCUACGGCAGACACUGCUGGUUACAUACCAAAGAACCAUUCAUAUCUUCUUUCUAGCUAACAGAUAUCUUCUCCCAGAAAUAGAGUAAUGAACUCAAGGAAGGUGAGAGCAUCCCCCAGUCUCUUGGGGAUGGCUCAGGGUUGAUUUAAAUCAAUCACAGUAGUAUUUCCUUUGCCAGUGAUUGUUUAAGGGCAGACAUGUGACAUGGUUCUAGCCAAUGAGAUGUAAGAGAGAUGUUCUGGGGAUUUUCCUCCCUAUAAGGAGAUAUCCACCAAGGAGAAACCCCAGCACUGCAUCCUGUUUUUGAAUAAUGAAAUUCUUACAAUCCUAAAGGUAGACGUCUAUGACACAGUGAAAACGGCAGAAUACAAAGACAGUAAGAGCCUAACUUGACAGUGUUGCAUCUCUAAAUCAAUCUUGGAACUACCUAUCAUUGGACUUAAGAGAUUCUCUUACUUGGAGCUGAAGGCAUCCUGACACCACUAGUGUCCAAAAACCAAAAGACAGAAGCUAUUUCAUGAGGGAUACAGAAAAGUAAAUAAAGAUGAUAGAAAAGUAUCUGUAAGAGUGAGAAUGAUUUUGGCUUCAGUAGUAAUAGUUAAUCCUGGUGAGCCCUCAAAAAAAUAUUAACCUAAAAACACAUGUAUCCUCAUUUAGUCUCUCAGAAUUCUAUGAGGUAGAUAGAAUUGUGACCAAUAAAAGCUAGAAUGUGGUAAAUUGAACAUUAAGAGGGAAAUGAAAAUGAAAUGGUAAAUUUAAAUAUUUCUAACAAGUUGUCUGAAGGAGAUAGACUUGUAAUAAGGAAAGGAUAAAAGAGGUUUUAAGAUAGUCCAGAGAAGAAGAAAACAAUAUAGAGGAGGAUAUUUAAAAACAUGUAAGACAUAUAAUAAAAGAAAUAAUUGCUUAAAUGACAUCUCAAAGAAGAUAAAAUUUGAUACGAUUUGAUACCAAGAGUACCAGUAGAUGAGACGUGAAUAAAAUUAGAGGUGGGCUCUGAGAGCAAAAGGAAGUAGACGACGACAAUUUAUAAAUUUGAAAGUAAAAGGACUAGGAAGACCAAGAAGUUCAUACACAGUAUCAAUACUCUGUUUAAAAAGAGAGGAGUGGGGGGACAUCCACUGCUAAGGAUUCAGAGUAAAGUAGGGUGUUUGAUAAGAAUGGUGGUAGUUCAGUAUGUCAAUUAUGGAAAAUAGGGAAGCAGCUGAUCAGAAACAAACAAUUACUAAAUCCCACUAAGGACCCAGCUGAAACCAGAAUGAAUGAACAUUCAUUUACUCACAAAUUUUUAUUAAGGACCUUUCAUAUGCCAAGGCACCUUUCUAGGUGCUAGGGAUACAGUAUGAACAAAAAUCCCUGCCUCAUUCUCUGUACAUUCUAGUAGGGGGAGAUACAAUAAAAAUUUUUAAAUACUGUAAGUUGUGUUAGACGGUGAUAAAAGCUAAGAAAAAUAAAGCAGAAAAUGUAAAUAAGGAGAUUCAAAAUUUAGAUAGGGUAGCCAGAAAUGAUUUCAGAGAAAAUGAUAUUAGCACUACAAUCUGAAAGGAAAGGAGGAAAGCUAUGCAUCCAUAUGGUAGAACUUAUUGGAUAGAGGGAAAUAUCAAACACCAAAGCCUAGAAGUGAGGGAAUGCAAGGCAUCUUUGAGGAACCGCAAGGUGGCUGAGUCAGAAUGAUAGAGAUGGUGAAGGGGUUGAAAGAUGGUCAGAGAAAUAACAGAUGCAAUACAGAGGCUUGUAGGCCACUAAAGACUUUGACUUACAUUCUGAGGGAAGAUACAAUGCCAUUGGAGAGUUUUACGCGAAUGAUAGGUCACUUUGAUUCUUAACAGCGUGGGAAAGACGGUGGGCAAGGGUGGAAGACCAAUAAGAACUGAUGGGCACAGUGGCUCAGACCUGUAAUCCCAGCACUUUGGAAUGCUGAGGCAGGAGGAUAGCUUGAGGCCACGAGUUUCAGACUAGCCUGGACAAUAUAACAAUACUCUGCCUCUACAAAAGAUAAAAAAUGUCAGCCAGAUAUGGUGGCACAUGCCUGUAACCCUAGCUACUCAGAAGGCCGAGGCAAGAUUGCUUGAGCACAGGAGUUUGAGGUUACAGUGAGCUCUGAUUAUACACUGCACUCAAGCCUGAGUGACCAAGUGAGACACUGUCUGGGGGGGGGGGGAAAUACACACACACACAUAUAUAUAUAAUGUAUGCAUAUAUAUUAUGUAUAUAUAUAAUGUAUGCAUAUAUAUUAUGUAUAUAUAUAAAAUCUUUAUGUAUAUAUAUGUACAUAUAUAAAAUAUAUAUACAUAUAUACAUAUGGCUUAGGGUGCCAAAGACUAAACAAACUCAAAAAAGGUUAAAGAAUUUGGCAAGGUCACUGAAGUAGCAAUAUACAUAUAUAUUCAGGUGGUUUGGACCAUGAUGUAGCAGUGGAGGUGAUGAGAAGUGGUGAACUUCUGGAUAUAUCUUAAAGGUAGAGUCAACAGGAUUUCCUGGUGAAUCAAACAGGGAAUGUGAGGAAAAACCAAUAAGGACACCAAGGUUUUUCAACUUCAGCAAACACAGAACAGACUUGCUACUUACUAAAAUAGAGAGGGGAGAAGGGAGAAACUGAGGAGUUCAAUAUUGGACAUAUAAAAUAAAGAUGCAUGGGGCCAGGCACAGUGGCUCAAACUCAGCACUUUGGGAGGCCAAGGCAGAAGGACUGCUUGAGGCCAGGAGUUUGAGACCAGCCUAGGCAACAUAGCGAGACCCCCAUCUCUACAAAAAAUUUAAAAAUUAGCCAGGUGUGCUGAUGCAUGCCUGUAGUCCUAGCUACUCAGGAGGCUGAGGCAGGGGGAUCACUUGAGCCCAAGAGCUCAAGGCUGCAGUGAGCUAAGAUUGCACCACUGCACUUCAGUUUGGGCGACAGAGAUCCUGUCUCUUAAAAGAGAAAAAUUUGGGAAGAGUGUAGGUGAUAUUUGAAACCAUGAGACUAGAGGAAAUUACUAGAAUCAUAGAUAGGGUAAAAGGGCACAAGGAUUGAGUCCUAGCACUCACAAAUGCAGUAGUAAGAAUAACUAUUACUAGGAAAGUGGGGCCUCUCCCUCACCCCUGAGAUGAAUCCUAAUUAUUCUAAGCCAGUAUGACACUUGAUAGAGUAAGCCUGUGACUCAACUCUGGUCAGGACAAGGUUAAUAAGAUUGGCAGUUGUGGCAGGGGUGGAGGGUAGGGACACUGGUAGCAGAAACUUUCCCCUUCCAUUUAACAAUCAUGACUGCAUGACACCUGGAACUGUGGCAACCAUUAUGCAAUCAUUAGGGGAGUAAAGUCAAGAAGCUGAGGGUGGUAGAAGGCAAAGAUGAAAAAAACAUGGGUACCUCAUAAAUUGUUGAGCUGCUCAUCAACCAGCCUUAGAGCCACUCUACCCCUGGAUUUUUUAUUAUUUAAGCCAUUUAAUAAGGGUUUUCAUUACUUGUGGUCAAAAGUAUCUGGAUACAAUAAUCUCAUUUAAUUUUCAAAACAAUGCUUAGGGUGACAAGGAGUAAACAAACUCAAAAAAGGUUAAAGAAUUUGGCAAGGUCACUGAAGUAGCAAAUGGUGAUUUGAAGUUCAUCCGACUCCAAAGUCAAUUUGAACUGAUUAAGAGUUGUUGAUUUAAAGAAUGGACACAACUAAAAGACAAAGGGGAGUGGGAGUUGAGAAUUACUGACGUGAAUGGCAAAGAAGGAAAGCCAGCAAGUAAGAGAUGGAAAGAAAAGAGAAGUGUCAAGAGACUAGAGGAACGGAAGAAGUACAUUAGGAAACAAACUGACAAGAGGUCAUCUUGAGGAGAAUAUCAGACUUGAAGAUUUUUAUUGUUUGAGUUGUCUGGAUGAAGACUAGAUGCAGGCUGUGGCCAUAAGUAGUGAGGAAAUUGCAUUUCGAGUAGUUAAGGAUUAAUGUAGUAAUAUUUACUACAUGGCACACAUUAUUUUAUGCACUUAGGAUUCAGUGGUAUGUGAUCUGAGAUGAAGUUCCCGGGCUGUAACCUGGCCAGAAGCUUGAAGUCUUUACCCCAAGAUAUAAACAGAGCACAAGAAUCAGGCUGACAAUUGGGAUGACAAUGACUCACAUUCACUAGCUUGUUUCAAAUAAUUUAACAUACACUAGGAAAUUAAAUGUUUAAUGAAUGAAUGAUCUAUCUGAUCAUUCAGCUUCUCCCAUUCUGACUCUUCAAACCAUUGCUUAAUUAGCUACAGGAUAUUAUUGGUUAGACUGAUACAAAUAAUUGUCUGAAAACAAUAGGGAGUCUCUGCAAAGUGAUCCAUGGUUUCAAUCCACCUUCACUCACUAGCAUGCUCAAGACAAGACGGUGAGAUAUAUGUCUAUUUUGUUUACUACUGUAUCUCUAGCACUUAGAACAAUGCCCAGAAUUUUUGUUGAAUUGAAUAAAUGAAUAGAUUAAUUAGGACCUACUAGAUGCCAGGCAUUAUUGUCAUCUCAAAGGUAAAUAAGAUAGCUCCUGCCCUUGACCGUUUACCACUUAAAAGCUCUAACUAAAACCUCUCAAUCUUCAUUUAUAUCAAAGUGCAUAGUUAAGGAGCAAGGUUGUUAAGAAUCUAAAGGUAAUAUCUGUCCUGGAUAAAAGGUGUCUAAAGCUUAAUAUGCACAUAAAUUUUUUAAAACUAACAUUCUUGCUUGAAAAAAUAGUAUUUAUAUUAUUGCUACAAUUAGAUAACCUGGCAUAAACAAUGAUUAUGAUAAACCAUAGAAAAAUAGUACCUCCAGAUAUUUCUUAUAAAAAAAUUAAUUCCUUUUUCUUAAGUACAUGUCCCUUCAAAUUUUUUUUAAAUGAAGUGAGAAUAUCAGUUAAUAUGAAGCAACAUAAAGGAACAAAUGGAAUCAGAAGGCAAAUUCCAAAGAGAUCACUACUAUAAAUAGAGACAUGGAAAUGUCAGAACAGAGAAGCAAGGUUCCACUAAAAAACAACAAAAUUGUUAUACCAAAUGAGUUUUCUAUCUUGUACCCACCCACUUCCAGUUAAGGAUUUCACUGGCAAAGAUCCUUGAUCUUUCAAUAACCUAUUUUCAGAAGGAAAUGUUGUCAGUAAAUGUUGUCAGUAAAGGUAGACAUCCUGAUUACAAAAAUUAAGAUGUUUUUGGUUCUGUACAGAUUCUUCUUCCUCUUGUACCUAAGAAGCAGAAAACCUCCAACCCAAACACCGAUGCUUCAUAUAGAAGACAGUUCACAAAAUAAAGAGCACUGGAUUAGAAAUCUAGUCUUGGCUCUGCAAUUAAUCUUGGCACUUUGUAGAAGGCACUCAGCAAUCUGUGUUAUGGUUUCCUCCAAUAUAAAAUGAAACAAAUGGGCGAGAUUACCUUCAAGGUCUUUCCAAGACUGAUAUUCUAAGAAAAGUUUGUGUGAAACUACCCUUCAGUGCCAUCUGGCCUCAAAGGCCCUCCACAUUCAUAAUCAUAUGUAGCUUUGUAGGAAAAUGAUAAGUGGAAUAAAGAAUUCAACUUGAUAUUUAUUAAACUUUUACCAACAUAAAAGCAUACUGGGCAAACCAAAGAAUAAGACGCGGUCCUUGACAAGCCCUCUUUUAUACAGAGGAGGGGAAAAGGGAGAAGACAAAAUUUCUGUAUUCAUAACAUUUACUACAAUCUAGCCAGGGAAACAAAAUUUAAUUCACUUUAAUUCCUCAAAUAUUAAAUAUGUUUUGUGUAAAAGGGUAGUUUUCAAAUCUUGAUGAGUAGAAUCAACUAUGAUGCUUUCUGGAAAAAAAAAGAAAGAAAGAAAGAAAGAAAUAUAGAUUCCCCAAAACAUGAUUCAGUAGGUCCACGUACGGCUAAAAAGCACUCUUGAUGAUGCUGGUGACCUUUUGUUAAGAAACUCUGCCUUAGUCUAGCUAACAAAAAGUUUGAGUUAGUCCAGUUAAAAGAAAAACUUUCAAUUGAUUCAUGAAUAGGACAGACCCCAAUUGAAAGUAGUUCAAUGACUUAGGGCUGAAGGGAUAAGGAGGAUUUUCACAGGAUGAAUGCAGAAACAAGGCAAAGAAAACAUUUGAUUAAAGUGGAGCAACAGCCUGAUUUGGACCAUUCCAGUGAAAAGUCCCUAGUUAAAGGUUAAUUGGCAGUUUCUGAUUGGUUAAGACAGUUUACAUUGAAUUAGGUUUCAGUUUGCUUAUGUAGGAACACAGGGCACUGGAGGUACCCCAGUCUAAUCACUUCCCAUUUAAUUAUUUUAACAGUUUAAAAAAAGCUGUUUCUAGACCCUGAAUUCAUCUCAAGACUAUAUACCCAUAACUAGAAACAAACUGCAAGCCAUUAAAAAUAAGCAAAAGUCGGCCAGAGCUUGUACACUUGUGUAUUUCAGUGGUUCUCAAGUGUGUCUGCACUUUAGGAUUAACCUGUGGGGAAAAGCAAGAGAGAUCAGAUUGUUACUGUGUCUGUGUAG